AAGUCGUAACAAGGUCUCCGUAGGUGAACCUGCGGAGGGAUCAUUAACAAAAUAUAUUUUAUUAAACUAUGUGUUCUCUGUCAAAAGAAACACAAAGUUUCAUAUUAUUAACACCGCGUGAACUAUAUGACUGACCAAUUGGAAUCGAAAUUAAUUUCGAUCACGAUUGGCUUUUUUUAUAACCCACACAACCCAUUUCACUUUGAACAACAAUAAUUGACUAAGCUUAGCUUUAUCAUGCAAUGUUUGUCCAAACUUAACAUAUUAAUCAAAUAAAUAAAAGUUGAUGCUGUGUGUUAGUGUGUUGAUACAUAUAUCAUGUAUGUAUUUUCCCUAUCCAUAUCAUUUAUUUUUUUCUUCGUGGCGAUAUUUGCAUGUCAAAUAUUUCCUUUUUGAAAAACUAAAAGCACAACUCUUAGCAACGGAUAUCUUGGUUCUC
rnacentral:misc_RNA from 1 species